UAAGAAAUCCAUUCCUCACACUUUUGGAGGCUGAGAUGAUCAACACCAAGGUGCUGGUACUGCUGGGACAAGGUACUCAAUGCCUCCAGGUUAAAAGGAUAUGAAAUGUAAUUUCACUCACAGCUUCAGUUGGUUCAGUCCAUGGUCAGCUGGCUCCAAGACAAACAUCAUGGAAGAAGGGCGUGGAGGAGCAGAGCAGAGCACAUUUCAUGGAGGCUGUGAAACAGAGGACUGGGCCCCUGAAACUGGACCUGCCUCAGGAACCAAAUGCAACAGGACAGAAGGCAAUGAGAUGCCCUGGGGACUCUCCUGACAGUGCUCUGAUGGAGGAGGAAGACUUUCCAACUCUACCCGUCAAGGAGAAGGAUUUUCCUUCAGUUCAAUCACAGGUUCCUGUGUGGUAUAGAUGGAGAAGGCAUUGAUAAAGUCCUGAUGAAUGUUACCACGAGGUGCGGGGAAGCCCUAGGAAGAUGAGGAUGAGGUGGACAUUACUUCCUCCAGGGAGAACAUGAGACGAGCCUUAGGAAGAAGAGCAUUUGACCAAGAUUCAAGGAGAUUCUCUCCUGAACUGACUAAGGCAACUGAUGUAUCCCCAGCUGAUGACUCGUUAAUAUAUAAGUUUUGAAAAAGAUUUUGAGUUUGUUAUUAAUGUCUAGGGCUGCAAGAUUAAGCUUGUGAGUGUGAAGGAAAGGGUAUUCUAGACAGAGUGAAAGUCUCCGGUUAAUGUGCAAAAGUUGUGGUCUUCAGGUGUUGAGAAGGGAUAGACUGGGAGAACCUGGAGGUCUGGAUUCCAUCUCUACUGUCACCAGGAAGCUGGG